rnacentral:rRNA from 1 species
GGGGGGGGCUUCUAUGACAAUCAUGCAAGUCGAGCGAACAGACGAGGAGCUUGCUCCUUUGACGUUAGCGGCGGACGGGUGAGUAACACGUGGGUAACCUACCUAUAAGACUGGGAUAACUUCGGGAAACCGGAGCUAAUACCGGAUAAUAUUUCGAACCGCAUGGUUCGAUAGUGAAAGAUGGCUCUGCUAUCACUUAUAGAUGGACCUGCGCCGUAUUAGCUAGUUGGUAAGGUAACGGCUUACCAAGGCAACGAUACGUAGCCGACCUGAGAGGGUGAUCGGCCACACUGGAACUGAGACACGGUCCACACUCCUACGGGAGGCAGCAGUAGGGAAUCUUCCGCAAUGGGCGAAAGCCUGACGGAGCAACGCCGCGUGAGUGAUGAAGGUCUUCGGAUCGUAAAACUCUGUUAUUAGGGAAGAACAAACGUGUAAGUAACUGUGCACGUCUUGACGGUACCUAAUCAGAAAGCCACGGCUAACUACGUGCCAGCAGCCGCGGUAAUACGUAGGUGGCAAGCGUUAUCCGGAAUUAUUGGGCGUAAAGCGCGCGUAGGCGGUUUUUUAAGUCUGAUGUGAAAGCCCACGGCUCAACCGUGGAGGGUCAUUGGAAACUGGAAAACUUGAGUGCAGAAGAGGAAAGUGGAAUUCCAUGUGUAGCGGUGAAAUGCGCAAAGAUAUGGAGGAACACCAGUGGCGAAGGCGACUUUCUGGCCUGUAACUGACGCUGAUGUGCGAAAGCUUGGGGAUCAAACAGGAUUAGAUACCCUGGUAGUCCACGCCGUAAACGAUGAGUGCUAAUUGUUAGUGGGUUCCUGCCCUUAGUGCUGAACUAACGA